GGGAAGUAGGCGGCAGGGGGCGGGGGAGGGCGGAGGGGGCGAGCGUUAUCCGGGGUUACUGGGCGUAAAGGGCAUGUAGGCGGUGCGACUCGUUUUGCCAGACAGCUGCCGGCUUACCUGGCAGAGCAGGCGAAAGACGGUCGCACUUGAGGACCAGAGAGGGACCUGGAAUUCCGGGUGGAGCGGUGAAAUGCGUAGAGAUCCGGAGGAACACCAAAGGCGAAGGCAGGGUCCUGGCUGGUAACUGACGCUGAGGUGCGAAAGCCAGGGGAGCGAACGGGAUUAGAUACCCGGGUAGUC
rnacentral:rRNA from 1 species